AGCAUUCAAUAAUACAAGGUGAAGCCCCAGAUAUGGUUCAGAUUGGUGCCUAGCAAAAGCAGUCUCCCCUGGAUUCAUGACAAGUUCUAGUCAAUCUCAAGCUAAUAACACAAUUGAACAGCCAUGGUCUGGACGUAGGCGAGCUAAAAUCACAUUAUGAUCAAUUUAAACAAAAUAAUACCGACUGAAUUGCAUCUCUUUCCCUCUGUGAAUGUUAUGGGAGAUGCACUGCCCCGACCGGGAGGAAAAGGCAAGUAUUCUGCUCUGAUACUUCCUCCAACCUCGUGCAGGAGCUUCAGUAAAUUUCUGGUAUCCUGGUUGAUGCAACUUUUAUAUUGGGUUAGUAUAGAUGGCGAAGCAGCCGUUGGAAAAGCAACCAAAAAUAGCUUUGUACGGCAGUAAUGUACAAAUUUUCCUGGAUCAUCAUUGCUCGUAAUACAUGUACAGGCUAUUUGAAGCAGCGCAGGCAAGGAAGUUUUCAGUCGGUUGCCAUGCAAGAUGGAGUAACUUCAUUGUGAAAUCAAAAGGAGUUCCGUUUAUGUCAACUCCAGAGUUAUCUGCUCCUUUGGCGGAAAAUGAAACAUGAAAUUGGGCACAUUUAGCUUUUAAAAAAGUAAAAAAUAAAAUACCAGAAUGAAAUUUAAAAACAGAUGCAUAUUUCCUCACUUCCAUAGUUGCAUUAUCAGUGUUCUAAAACUCAAUAAUGAUGAACAUUCUAAUUCCACUAUUAAUUCAGUUGUUUUUGAUAUAUAAUUCCGCUAUUACUCACCUAACCUGAGCAACUAUAAUCACACUAGCUCAUGAGUAAUUUCAAGUGGAUUUAAAACUUGAAAUUUGAAUGACAUGACAUUUCUACUAGGAAAAAAGAACUGCUACUAGUACUGAAUUAAUCUAGUAAAAAAUUAAUCAUAUCCAUUAUCUCUUCAGACAUAUUAUCCUUUUCUAGAUAACUGAGUUAUUAUCUGCUGAGACAUUUUGCAAAAAAAUUCUCCCUGGGUACUGAAAACAAGAGUUCAUAAUAAUUGCCAUCUGAGACAAAGCACAUACCUCGCUUGACAACACGGGGCAAGGUUCCAAGGGAUCUCGUGGACCUUGGCGGGGUUUGAACUUGCC
rnacentral:lncRNA from 1 species